rnacentral:rRNA from 1 species
GCGAACGCUGGCGGCAGGCCUAACACAUGCAAGUCGAGCGCCCCGCAAGGGGAGCGGCAGACGGGAGAGUAACACGUGGGAACGUACCCUUCAGUUCGGAACAACCCAGGGAAACUUGGGCUAAUACCGAAUACGUCCGUAAGGAGAAAGAUUUAUCGCUGAAGGAUCGGCCCGCGUCUGAUUAGCUAGUUGGUGAGGUAAUGGCUCACCAAGGCUACGAUCAGUAGCUGGUCUGAGAGGAUGAUCAGCCUCACUGGGACUGAGACACGGCCCAGACUCCUACGGGAGGCAGCAGUGGGGAAUAUUGGACAAUGGGCGCAAGCCUGAUCCAGCCAUGCCGCGUGGGUGAUGAAGGCCCUAGGGUUGUAAAGCCCUUUCGGCGGGGAAGAUAAUGACGGUACCCGCAGAAGAAGCCCCGGCUAACUUCGU